GGAUUAGUACGUUGGUCGUGCCUUAGGUACGUACUGGUGUUACUGGUUCCUACCUUCUGACGAACCAUCAUGUCAUUAAUUUGGUGUGGCGGGGAAUCAGGACUGUUACUUUGAAAAAUUAGAGUGUUUAAAGCAGGCAUACGCUUGAAUACAUUAGCAUGGAAUAAUGAAAUAGGACGUUCGAUCCUAUUUUGUUGGUUUCUAGGAUUGACGUAAUGAUUA
rnacentral:rRNA from 1 species